CAUCGGAGGGGAGCCCAGGCGUCCCUAGCGCGGGUCUGUGCUGUGUUUCUGCCAUUGCUCGUGGCCACCACAAGGUGUCACUCUUUGUUGCUCCUGCACGUUCCCACCACGCCCAUAACGGCUGGCUAGAGAGGAAGAAUUCCACUCCCCCAGCACCAGCUAAUCCAGAGUCCUUUCAGUUCCCCGGGCUUCAUUCGUAAUGCCCAGUUUUUAGAGGCCCCGCCAGCCUCGGCCCUCAAUCCCGCCCUCAACCCCAGCACUACAUCCGGACUGGCUCAGAGGAACACCCAUUCCAGACAAUAACGUUUUCUUUCUUGCCCAGGUGUUUCAACCUUUAAACCAGACUGGGCUUGUUCUGUUUUUACUUUUUAAAAUUUUAACUCCUCUCUUACUGUCAUUCCCAAAUGGGCUUGUUCUAAUUCCUUCCUGGACCAUAGAGCUACAAACUUCCUCCAAGAGUGACUUCCAGUAGGCUUUUGGGCAUCGUUGGUGUCCCGUUUCAUACAUAAAGGGCCAGACAUAAAAGACCAGAACAUUAAAAAGACACCACGUAUAUGGGGGAUAUUAGAAGGAAAUACAUCAUGUUUGAAGGGGUGAUGCCCCCCUGACAGCAGGUAGCUGAAGCUCUCCAGCAUCACAUUUCAGUGCAGAUUCCUCUGGACAGGGUCCGGCAGCCCCAGCUGCUCCUCAGUGAAGACCACAGCCACAUCCUUCAAGGUCAGUCCCUCCUUGAAUGUGGUCAUUUUUCCUCCCAUUUCUGGGAAUUUGCAGAGUCCUGAGUCAUGCCGUUUGAGAGAAGGCGGAAUCGUGCCUGGAACAGUGGAGCUGUGCUUUCAGUAGCCAAAAAGUAACUCCGUGCAGUCCUUUUUCAGGCUCUGCUCUCCGAUGAGGCUUCUUUUGCCAAAAUUGAACCGCGGGGUCCCUGUGAGCCCCGAGUUUAAGUCCCUGACAUUAGGAAGGGCCUGCAAGACACGGAACUGGAUCAAACUCGAGUCACAUUGUUUCAUUCUAAAUACAGUUGAUGCUCAUUAUCUGAGGGAGUUGCUCUCUAAUAUCACACUAGAAACACUGGCAAACACUGAAUUAGCAAAUAUGGAACCAUUGUUUCUAGAGGAAGUAGGAUUGGUUGAUGCCUGUGAGCCUGCGGCCACAGCAGUUUUAUUAAUCAAUCAGUACAUAACCUUGUAUUAUGUGUGUUUCUAUUUAAAAUACAUUACAUUAUUCAGUAUACAUUUCUUACAAGUGAUUGAUUGCAUAGUCCUUCAAAGAUUUAAAGCCUGGAGUUUUGGAGGCUAUUUGCAUUGUAUAGGUUAACUUGCCAAUGUCCUUGUAAAACAAGCCAGUCUCAUCGGGGUUGAAAAACUGCUUUCCUAGCCAACCCUUGCCCUUUUCCCAUAUUACACUUAGCUCGUAAUAUGGGACAGGGUUUGAUUCUGUCGCCCAGACUAGAGUGCAGUGGCACAAUCUCAGCUCACUGCAACCUCUGCCUCUCAGGUUCAAGCAAUUCUCCCACCUCAGCCUCCUGAGUAGCAUGUACUGCCACGCCCAGUUAAUUUUUGGUUUUUUUUUUUGGUAGAGGUGGGGUUUUAGCAUUUUGGCCAGGCUGGUCUUGAACUCCUGACCUCAAGGAGUGAUCUGCUUGCUUAGGCCUCCCAGAGUGUUGGGAUUACAGAUGUGAGCCACCAUGCCUGGCCUCGUAUAACUUUUUGUUUUUUGUUUUGAGACAGGGUCCCUCUCUGUUGCCCAGGCUGGAGUUCAGUAGUGCAAUCACAGCUCACAGAAGUCUUGACCUCCCAGGCUCAAACGGUCCUCCCGCCUCAGCCUCCCAAGUACCUGGGGCUACAGGUUGGAGAAACCCCCUGUAGUUAGCCCAGCUAAUUUUUUAUUUCUGGAGAUAGGGUCUCCCUAUGUUGCCCAGGCUGGUCUUGAACUCCUGGAGUCAAGCGAUCCAUUCGCCCACCUUGGCCUCCCAAAAUGCUAAGAUUACAGGUGUCAGCCACUGUGCCCAGGCUUUAGCUUUUUUUUCAAAAUUCUCCUGAAGCAUCCUGAUCUGUAGAACUUGCCUGUAAAAUCAACAUUUUUUGGCCGGACACAGUGGCUCACGCCUGUAAUCCCCAGCACUUUGGGAGGCUGAGGCGGGCGGAUCAUGAGGUCAGGAGUUCGAGACUAUCCUGGCUAAUAGGGUGAAACCCUGCCUCUACCAAAAAUAGAAAAAAUUAGCUGGGCUGGUGGCAUGUGCCUGUAAUUCCAGCUACUCGGGAGGCUGAGGCAGGAGAAUCGCUUGAACCUAGGAGACGGAGGUUGCAGUGAGUCGAGAUCAUGCCACCGCACUCCAGCCUGGGCUACAGAGCAAAACUCCGUUUCAAAAAAAAAAAAAAAAUUAAUUCUAUGAUACAUUUUGAAUCAUCUGAGGCAGCAGUACUAGCUAAGCCAAUUCAGACUCAUGUCUGAAUGAAGCUUACCUAACCGUGUCUGUCAGGCACAUCCCAUCACAGCCUUCUUGAUCAUAUAAACACUAGAUAACAUUUCAGCACUGCACCACACUUCAGCACUUUUGCAUCUAAAAAGCAAAAUCAGCCAGGCACAGUGGCUCACGCCUGUAAUCCCAGCAUUUUGGAAAGCUGAGGUGGGUGGAUCUUUUGAGGUCAGGAGUUCAAGACCAGGCUGGCCAACAUGGUGAAAACUCAUCUCCGCUAAAAGCAUAAAAAUUGGCUGGGCGUGGCAUCGCACACCUGUAGUCCCAGCUACUCGAGAGGCUGAGGCAGGACA